UACGGAGGGUGCAAGCGUUAUCCGGAUUCACUGGGUUUAAAGGGUGCGUAGGUGGGCAAGUAGGUCAGUGGUGAAAUCUCCGGGCUUAACCCGGAAACUGCCAUUGAUACUAUUUGUCUUGAAUACUGUGGAGGUCAGCGGAAUAUGUCAUGUAGCGGUGAAAUGCUUAGAUAUGACAUAGAACACCAAUUGCGAAGGCAGCUGGCUACGCGAAUAUUGACACUGAUGCACGAAAGCGUGGGGAUCAAACAGG
rnacentral:rRNA from 1 species